rnacentral:lncRNA from 10 species
CGGGUUCACGCCAUUCUCCCGCCUCAGCCUCCGGAGCAGCUGGGAUUACAGGCGCCCGCCAUCACGCCCAGGUUCUCCUUCUCUCCUCUAUCCUGCCACUUUGUGAAGAAGGUGCUUGCUUCUCCUUCACCUUCCACCAUGAUUAAAAAUAGAAUAUAAAAACUUCUCUACUCCUGACUCACCAACGCACCAGAACAACUUUUAGUCCUGCAAUCAUGAAGCAUUGAUUGAACAUCUUCUACAUAUUAUCACCACCCUAGACACUACAACAACAAAGAAGGUGCUGGGGACUGAAUGCUGCCCUCCAAUAGGAUGGAGACUGAAUGCUGCCCACCAGCAGGACAGUGCCUCCAUGGAUGUGACCAUGGCAGAGAAAAACCCAGUGAGGCUCCAGAUCUGAGCCUGUCUCCCUAGGAAAAGCAAACCCAGGAUCUGGGUAUCCUGCCUGCUCAUUUUCCCUGAAUGAAGAUGAACUCUUCCCCAACCCUUAUAGGGAGGAAUUGCACAGGUGACGGCUGCCUUGGACGCUCUUGGUUUAGCACGUGCUCCCCGGUCUCCACAACAGGCAGUGGGAUAUUCAGUACCACUGCUUGUGAGUAGAACAGUAAUGCACUCCUAUUUAGGGUGGUUGGUAAACACAGCUGCUGUCCACAGUAUUACAGGAAAAUCAUUUGCAUCAUUCGUUUGGGUGGGACCCUUCUGCUUAGUACUAUGUCUCAGUAGAGAGAUUUCUCCAGGGUGGACGCUGUGGUUUCUGCUCCGGAAGCCAAGUAGGAAGGGGCCUCUUCCACCCUUCCUUCCUCUCCCUCCUCUCUCUUCCCUGCCCCCUUCUCUGCCAUCUUUGUCACUUGCUCACUAAGUCCCGUCAGCUGGCUCAGAUGCUGAGAUCCUGUAUGUGACAGUAGAAUAGACACUUAAAAUUGGGACACUUUAGGUCUCACUUAUUCCUGAGAUAUCAAAAAAGCUGGGAGGGCAGCAUCAGCUUCAAGCCUUGUCCCUUUUUUGAAGCAAAAAAAGAACCAAUGAAGCUUGGAGCUAUUUCCUGAAUCAGAGAGAAAAUAGGCAUAAUAAAAUUAAAUCGGAUCCAUAUUAAUUUAUAAGUAAACGGAGCACAUCCCCUCAAGUAAAGUAUGUAGAAAGCCUCCUGGAACAGAAAUCUUCAUAAAACCUGUCCGGAAUUUUCCCUCUCACCUCAUUUUUACACACACACCUGUCUGAUUCUAUUCCACCACAGGGCAAGCAGUUAGAAAGAGGAAGGUGUUGGCUUAAUGAAAAAGAAAUUGUUGUGAUGGCAACUCUUUCAAAGACGUUUCCUCUCUAUUCCCACACAGCUGUUUUCUCUUCUUGUUCUUUUUCUUCCUUUUCUCUUUCUCUUCAUCUCUUUCCUUUGAACUCUUUAGUCUCAUCUAUUCCUUCACUUCUGUAAUCUCUCCUGCCACCUCUCAUAUUCAUCCUGCUUGCUUUCCUCAUCACUGUCAUAUAAUCAUUCAUUCACUACACACUUAUCAAAAGCACUUGCAUGUUCACUGCAGCACUAUUUACAAUAGCAAAGUCAUGGAAUCAACUUACGUGCCCAUCAAUGGUGGACUGGAUAAAGAAAAUGUGGUACAUAUACACCAUGGAAUACCAUGCAGCCACAAAAAAGAACAAAAUCAUGUCCUUUGCAACAAAAUGGAUGCAACUAGAAGUCAUUAUCCUAAGCAAAUUAAUGCAGAAACAGAAAACCUAAUACUGCAUGUUCUUAUAAGUGGGAGCUAAACCUUAGGUGCACAUGGACAUGAGGAUGGCAACAAUAGAAACUGGAGACUACAAGGGCUGAAAAACUCGUUGUUGAAAUCAUUCUCUAGAUAUAAAUCUAUCAAACAUUGUACAGAAAAAAUGAGGAUGAUAGUUUAUUUGUCAGUCAAUGAUAUUUCUUCAGUGUAUUUGAUUAAAGUGUACAAUAACUGGUAAUACAUUACUGGUGUCAGUGUUUAGUUGGGUUGAUAUAAAAAAUAAAGCAUUUUGUAA